UCUUUUGUCUUUUCCUCUCUUCCUUUUUAUGUUUUAUUUUUUUUUUCCCUUUCUGUUUUGGGCUGGCCAUUAAUCAAAAUUUCACAUUCUUUCAAGAAUCGCAUCGCAUUGUAGUGAAGACAACUUCAUCGUCCGCUACUCUCUCUCCUAGCAUCCCUUUGCAGUUGUGCUCGUGGAAGAGUGAAAAAGCUUUUGUGAUGAAGUCGAGGCUGGCAGGGAAUGGAUAAAGAAAGGGAAAGGGGAUGAGAAUCACGUGCUAGGCAAUGACUGCUUCGGCGGAUGAUAGAGUACCGAACAUGUGUAAGAGGCAGCUCAUGCACCUGAUUCUGCUGGGCACUAUCUCACUUCCUACUGCUGGAAUGACAAGGAGAAUUUGUGUCUUUAUGGACUUCCAAAUGAGUCAUGGGAAAUUAAUCUACCUAUUAAGGAGGCGCCUCCUGAGCUUCCAGACCCAGCUUUAGGUAUAAAUCAUGCAAGGGAUGGGAUGCAAAAGAAGGAUUGGUUGUCACUAGUUGCCAACGCAAUUGUUAAACAAAUAUUUAUUUUAGAGCAAGUUACCCCUUUCCGUGCUGUUUCACCUAUAAUAGUGGAAUUGAGUGCCCAAUCCAUACUGAAAACAACUUGUAUUGUGAGAGUAAUCAUAUGUUAUCUUUUGUAUAUUUGAGCUUUGCUAGUUGACUGGAAACACACAUCAUAGAUGCUCAUUUACAUUCACUUCGCAAACAUUUUGAUUUUGGUUUCAAAGCAUAAACUACCUGUAUCACAUGAUGUAUG